AUACGUAGGUGGCGAGCGUUGUCCGGAAUUAUUGGGCGUAAAGCGCGCGCAGGCGGGAUAUUAAGUCUACUCUAAAAGUGCGGGGCUCAACCCCGUGACGGGGUGGAAACUAGUAUUCUUGAGUGCCGGAGAGGAAAGCGGAAUUCCCAGUGUAGCGGUGAAAUGCGUAGAUAUUGGGAGGAACACCAGUGGCGAAGGCGGCUUUCUGGACGGUGUCUGACGCGGAGGCGCGAAAGCAAGGGGGGCGAACGGGAUUAGAUGCCCCGGUAGUCCUGGCCGUAAACGAUGGGUACUAGGUGUAGGGGGUAUCGACCCCCCCUGUGCCGGAGUUAACGCAAUAAGUACCCCGCCUGGGGAGUACGGCCGCAAGGUUGA
rnacentral:rRNA from 1 species